GACGAACGCUGGCGGCGUGCUUAACACAUGCAAGUCGAACGGAAAGGCCCUGCUUGCAGGGUACUCGAGUGGCGAACGGGUGAGUAACACGUGGGUGAUCUGCCCUGCACUUCGGGAUAAGCCUGGGAAACUGGGUCUAAUACCGGAUAGGAGCCAUUUUUAGUGGGAUGGUUGGAAAGUUUUUUCGGUGUAGGAUGAGCUCGCGGCCUAUCAGCUUGUUGGUGGGGUAAUGGCCUACCAAGGCGGCGACGGGUAGCCGGCCUGAGGGGGUGGACGGCCACAUAGGGACGGAGAGACGGCCCAGACUCCUACGGGAGGAAGCUGUGGGGAAGAUUGCACAAGGGGCGCAGGCCUGGUGAAGCGACGCCGCGUGGGGGAUGGCGGCCUUCAGGUUGUAAACUCCUUUCGCUAGAAACGAAGCUUUUUGUGACGGUACCUAGAUAAGAAGCACCGGCUAACUACGUG
rnacentral:rRNA from 1 species